GUGCCAGCCGCCGCGGUAAUACGUAGGGUGCAAGCGUUGUCCGGAAUUAUUGGGCGUAAAGAGCUCGUAGGCGGUGUGUCGCGCCUGCUGUGAAAACUCAGGGCUCAACUCUGAGCUUGCAGUGGGUACGGGCACACUUGAGUGCUGUAGGGGAGACUGGAGUUCCUGGUGUAGCGGUGAAAUGCGCAGAUAUCAGGAGGAACACCGGUGGCGAAGGCGGGUCUCUGGGCAGUUACUGACGCUGAGGAGCGAAAGCAUGGGGAGCGAACAGGAUUAGAUACCCUGGUAGUCCAUGCCGUAAACGUUGGGCGCUAGGUGUGGGGUCCAUUCCACGGAUUCCGUGCCGCAGCUAGCGCAUUAAGCGCCCCGCCUGGGGAGUACGGCCGCAAGGCUAAAACUCAGAGGAAUUGACGGGGGCCCGCACAAGCGGCGGAGCAUGCGGAUUAAUUCGAUGCAACGCGAAGAACCUUACCAAGGCUUGACAUGCGCGGUGGAAUCCCAGAGAUGGGGUGUCAUUUAGUUGGUCGCGUACAGGUGGUGCAUGGUUGUCGUCAGCUCGUGUCGUGAGAUGUUGGGUUAAGUCCCGCAACGAGCGCAACCCUCGUUCCAUGUUGCCAGCACUUCGGGUGGGGACUCAUGGGAGACUGCCGGGGUCAACUCGGAGGAAGGUGGGGAUGACGUCAAAUCAUCAUGCCCCUUAUGUCUUGGGCUUCACGCAUGCUACAAUGGCCGGUACAAAGGGCUGCGAUACCGUAAGGUGGAGCGAAUCCCAAAAAGCCGGUCUCAGUUCGGAUUGAGGUCUGCAACUCGACCUCAUGAAGUCGGAGUCGCUAGUAAUCGCAGAUCAGCAACGCUGCGGUGAAUACGUUCCCGGGCCUUGUACACACCGCCCGUC
rnacentral:rRNA from 1 species